rnacentral:rRNA from 1 species
UACAGAGGUCCCAAGCGUUGUUCGGAUUCACUGGGCGUAAAGGGUGCGUAGGCGGUCGGGUAAGUCUGACGUGAAAUCUCCGAGCUUAACUUGGAAACUGCCAUGGAUACUAUAGAUCUUGAAUACUGUGGAGGUCAGCGGAAUAUGUCAUGUAGCGGUGAAAUGCUUAGAUAUGACAUAGAACACCAAUUGCGAAGGCAGCUGGCUACACAAAUAUUGACACUGAGGCACGAAAGCGUGGGGAUCAAACAGG